rnacentral:rRNA from 1 species
UAUCAGAAGUGCGAAUGCUGACAUGAGUAACGUUAAAGCGGGUGAAAAGCCCGCUCGCCGUAAGCCCAAGGUUUCCUGCUCUACGUUCAUCGGAGCAGGGUGAGUCGGCCCCUAAGGUGAGGCUGAGAAGCGUAACUGAUGGGAACAAGGUUAAUAUUCCUUGACCACCGCUGAAUGCGAAGGGGGGACGGAGUAUUGAAGAUCAUCCGGGUGUUGGAUAUCCCGGUUUGCGAGCGUAGGAGGCUGACAGGCAAAUCCGUCAGCGGAUCUCCGAGGCAAAGCAUCGAGCUCUCUUUUGAGCGAAGUGAUUGGAUGUGCUUCCAGGAAAAGCCUCUAAGCUCCAGUUCAGCGGGACCGUACCGCAAACCGACACUGGUGGGCGAGCUGAAUAUGCUCAGGCGCUUGAGAGAACUCAGGAGAAGGAACUCGGCAAAUUGACACCGUAACUUCGGGAUAAGGUGUGCCUUUGUAGCGUGGAGGGAGAAACACCCCGAGCGCGAAGAGGUCUCAGAUAAUCGGUGGCUGCGACUGUUUAUUAAAAACACAGCACUCUGCAAAGACGAAAGUCGACGUAUAGGGUGUGAUGCCUGCCCGGUGCUGGAAGAUUAAUUGAUGGGGUGCAAGCUCCUGAUCGAAGUCCCAGUAAACGGCGGCCGUAACUAUAACGGUCCUAAGGUAGCGAAAUUCCUUGUCGGGCAAGUUCCGACCUGCACGAAUGGCAUAACGAUGGCCACACUGUCUCCUCCAUGAGCUCAGUGAAGUUGAAGUGUUUGUGAUGAUGCAAUCUCCCCGCGGCUAGACGGAAAGACCCCAUGAACCUUUACUGUAGCUUUGCAUUGGACUUUGAACCGAUCUGUGUAGGAUAGGCGGGAGCCUGUGAAACCACAACGCCAGUUGUGGCGGAGGCGUCCUUGAAAUACCGCCCUGAUUUGUUUGAGGUUCUAACCUGGGACAGUCAUCCUGUCCGGGGACCGUGCAUGGUAGGCAGUUUGACUGGGGCGGUCUCCUCCUAAAGGGUAACGGAGGAGUGCGAAGGUACGCUAGGUACGGUCGGAAAUCGUGCUGAUAGUGCAAUGGCAAAAGCGUGCUUGACUGCGAGACCCACAAGUCGAGCAGAUACGAAAGUAGGUCAUAGUGAU